UACAGAGGGUGCGAGCGUUAAUCGGAAUUACUGGGCGUAAAGCGCAUGUAGGUGGGAGGAUAAGUUUGAUGUGAAAGCCCUGGGCUUAACCUGGGAAUGGCGUUGAAUACUAUUUUUCUUGAGUCGGACAGAGGGCAGUGGAAUUUCCGGUGUAGCGGUGAAAUGCGUAGAGAUCGGAAAGAACACCAGUGGCGAAGGCGGCUGCCUGGGUCCAGACUGACACUGAGGUGCGAAAGCGUGGGGAGCAAACAGG
rnacentral:rRNA from 1 species